rnacentral:rRNA from 1 species
CGACCGGCGCACGGGUGAGUAACACGUAUCCAACCUGCCCUUUACUCGGGGAUAGCCUUUCGAAAGAAAGAUUAAUACCCGAUGGUAUAACAUGACCUCCUGGUUUUGUUAUUAAAGAAUUUCGGUAGAGGAUGGGGAUGCGUUCCAUUAGGCAGUUGGCGGGGUAACGGCCCACCAAACCUUCGAUGGAUAGGGGUUCUGAGAGGAAGGUCCCCCACAUUGGAACUGAGACACGGUCCAAACUCCUACGGGAGGCAGCAGUGAGGAAUAUUGGUCAAUGGGCGAGAGCCUGAACCAGCCAAGUAGCGUGAAGGAUGACCGCCCUAUGGGUUGUAAACUUCUUUUAUAUGGGAAUAAAGUCUGCCACGUGUGGCAUUUUGUAUGUACCAUAUGAAUAAGGAUCGGCUAACUCCGUGCCAGCAGCCGCGGUAAUACGGAGGAUCCGAGCGUUAUCCGGAUUUAUUGGGUUUAAAGGGAGCGUAGGUGGACAUGUAAGUCAGUUGUGAAAGUUUGCGGCUCAACCGUAAAAUUGCAGUUGAUACUGCGUGUCUUGAGUACAGUAGAGGUGGGCGGAAUUCGUGGUGUAGCGGUGAAAUGCUUAGAUAUCACGAAGAACUCCGAUUGCGAAGGCAGCUCACUGGACUGCAACUGACACUGAUGCUCGAAAGUGUGGGUAUCAAACAGGAUUAGAUACCCUGGUAGUCCACACAGUAAACGAUGAAUACUCGCUGUUUGCGAUAUACAGUAAGCGGCCAAGCGAAAGCAUUAAGUAUUCCACCUGGGGAGUACGCCGGCAACGGUGAAACUCAAAGGAAUUGACGGGGGCCCGCACAAGCGGAGGAACAUGUGGUUUAAUUCGAUGAUACGCGAGGAACCUUACCCGGGCUUAAAUUGCA